rnacentral:lncRNA from 1 species
UAGCCGCUGGUGCUGGAUGCAAAAUACGGACGAAACUAGGCGAUCACCGGACGUCGCCGCGGACAGUAGCGGGAGGAAUAGGCGGAAAAAUGAGUUUAGGGGUUAGGAGAGAGAGAAUGAAAUUGAAAUUAAAUUUUUUUUGGAAAAAAAUAUUUCUUUUAUUAUCCUAGUACAUGUAAUCAAAUCUUCCACCUAGGCAGCAUUAAUGUACGUUAGUAGUUUCCUAAUAUAGAAGAAUCGAUUAAAUUUUUUUAAUUUUGUUCCAGGUUGCUGGUCCAAAUAAUCGACGGCCCAGGUGCUACAAGAAAACGAACGGCUGUGAUGAAGAGGGGUUUUCAUUAGAACCCUUCUUAACGGAUAUACACCCUAAUUAUAUAUAAUAUUAUAAAAAUAUCAAAUAUAG